UUAUAGUUCUCGUGGUUUUGAAUCGGUUUUUAAAAUUUUUUCGAUAUAAAUUUUCUACCUUUGACUAUUUGGACAAAGAUAUGCAAGCCAUACGUGUUAUUCUCGCCCGUGAAAGACGACAAGUAAAUUUAAAAUCUCAAGAAAUGUGGGAAAAGACUUGAAUAUGGAUUUUAUACAAAGGGUAAGAGACAAAUUUGCAUAUUUCAAUUUUUUAAUAUUUAGACUUUACCUUAUUUGACAUGAAAAUGAUAAGCAUAACGAUGAAACUGACACUCUAUUUGUUAAUAAAAACAACUUCCUAUGUAAUACACAUGGUAAAGUGUAAAAUUUCCCACUAUUUCACUAAUUUUAGCAAGCUGUGAUUCAUAAUCGCAAAAUAUUUGGUUACAAACUAAGAAGCUUUGAUCGAUAUUCAGUCACAUAUACGAGGAUUACGACGGUCUUUAAAGUGCGAACUGUCUGGUGUAUUAAUGUUUAAAAGGUUGACUCCUGAGGUCUCGUUUUAUAAACAGACAUAAACCUCAUUUCCAGGAUGGCCUGUUUUCUUACAUGUUUUCUCAGUAAAUAUCACUCUGAAUGAGCAAUGUACCUUUAUAAGUGCACUCAUAGUUCUGAUACCCCUGGUUUAAGUUGAGGAGUUAGGUCACAUUCUUUUGUUUACCUUGAUCAUAUUCAUAUGCUAAUUAUGUUACUGGUGGAUUUUUGUACAACCUACAUAAUUAAUCUACUCUUGUUUGUUGCAGAUUUAUUCCACAAAGACACACUCCUUUCUGGGUGGCAAGUUACAGUACCAAGCUUGGCAAGCCACACAUAUCUUUGGAAACUGAACAUACUGUAUUUUAAUACAUGCUUCCAGAAAUUAUGUCACCUUGGCUAUAUAUAGAGUCUCAUUUUCACGAUUGAGACAUUGGACUUUAACUCAUGCCACAUACAUGAAAAUGAGGCUCCUGUGAUAGCCAAGGUGAAAUACAUUCCGGAAGGGUGUAUUUGACUUUUUUGAAAAAUUAUUGGCA